rnacentral:lncRNA from 1 species
CAAAAGGAGAGUGGUUGGUAGCUCUCUCCCUUCCCCACUCCCACGCUGAACUCAGAAGCUUCAUGAAUAGUUCAAUUGAAACAGGAUCAAGUUUCAGACACUCCCAUACUGAGAAAAUGAUCCCACUAGAUUAAAUUGGAGCCUAGAUCAGUGGAGGAAUAUUUCCACAACUCUGCCAGGGCCAGGACAGCCACCAUUAAAAGCUCAGGAGAACUGCUACCAAGAUGCAGAUUUUUGUAAUGGGGAAGACAUCACUCUCUUAUUUGUUGGGGUUCAUUGGUUGAACUCUCUAAUACAAUACAAAAUGUAAAGUCCUGGCAGGAUAAGAAAGGAAUUCCUACUCAUCAGCAGAGUGAUCUUUGCUGGUAAGCAAUUGGAAGAUGGAUGUACUUUGAUGACAGCAUUCAAAAGGAGUCCACUCUUCUUAUUGUGCUGAGACUUUGUGGUGGUGCCAAGGAAGAAGUAUUACACCACUCCCAAGAAGAAUACGCAUAAGAGAAAGAAGGUUAAGCUAACGGUCCUAAAAUAUUACAAGGUGGACAAGAAUGGCAAAACUAGUUGCCUUUGUUGUGAGUGCCCUUCAGAUUGAGUCUCGCUCUGUCACCCAGGCUGGAGUGCAGUGGCCCAAUCGAUCCCAGCUCACUGCAACCUCCACCUUCCAGGUUCAAGCGACUCUCCUGCCUCAGCCUCCUGAGUAGCUAGGACUACAGGCGUGUGCCAACACGCCCAGCUCAUUUUUGUAUUUUUAGUAGAGAUGGGGUUUCACCAUAUUGGCCAGGCUGGUCUUGAACUUCUGAUCUCAGAUGAUCCUCCUGCCUUGACCUCCCAAAGUGCUGGAAUUACAGGCGUGAGCCACUGCACCCAGCCAGCUUUGUUGCACUGUCUCCAAACAGAAUAUGUUAUUAACUUUGUAGCUAGUUGUGUAAGCAGCUCUAUAACAAAAUGAUUUCUACCAAUUUUUUUCUACAGAAAUGUAACUUGAUCUCUUUUAACCACAAAAUGUAUCCACAUCAUACAGGAAAACAUUUUGCAUUUAUUCUGGAAAAAUCCAUUUUACUUGGUAAAGAAGCUACAGCAUUUUUUUUUUUUUUUUUUUGAGAUGGAGUCUUGCUCUGUCGCCCAGGCUGGAGUGCAGGGGCACCUCGGUUCACUGCAACCUCUGCCUCCCAGGUUCAAGCGAUUCUCCUGCCUCAGCCACCGGAGUAGCUGGGAUUACAGGCACGCGGCACCAUGCCCGGCUAAUUUUUGUAUUUUUAGUAAAGAUGGGGUUUCACCAUGUUGGCCAGGCUGGUCUCGAACACCUGACUUUGUGAUCCGCCCUCCUUGGCCUCCCAAAGUGCUGGGAUUACAGCCACCCCGCCCAGCCCAGCCAAUGUAUUUCUUUUGGGUGGAUGAUUUUUUUCUUUUUGGUGACUUAUAAAUAUAACAACAAAAUGAAAGAAAAAUGAAAUUUUAACAGAUGUAAACAAUAAUAUGUAAAUUAUGUUAAAAUACCUUUGCAGUAAACUAAAUAAGUGGAUCAAUGUAAUCUGCGCAGUACAUAUACAACUUCUAAGAAUGCAAAGCUGUUCAAUAGCAUAAUGGG